ensembl:lncRNA SNHG14 small nucleolar RNA host gene 14
AUGCACAAAAUAAGCCUGGCUGUGGAAAUGCUUAUUUGUUGGGAGGGUGCUUGUUUGGAUCGAUGAUGAGAAUAAUUGUCUGAGGAUGCUGAGGGACUCAUUCCAGAUGUCAAUCUGAGGUCCAGAUGUGUGGCCCUCCAAUAGGACAAAUAAGACUCUCAGAGCCUGGCUCUAUUUGGGGAUCCCUCAGUGACAACAUAGUACCUCUGUGAGCGUGCCUUUUCUAUCUCUCCGAAGAGGGCAUUAGCAUCCUGUCUUAUGAGUCAGUAUGCACUUUAGUAUGGUUAGUGACCCAAGACUCACUUUAUUUUGUUCAUUUUGAGCAGAGAAUUGUAGAUAGAUACAUAUAUGGGAAAUAUGUUCUUGAUUAACAAAUGAAAAAAUGAAAAAGUUUCAGUCAAGAAAGGUCAAGGAACUGUGAUGUAUAGUGAAGGCAGGGAACACUGCAUGCCUGUAUUAAAUAUUGACAAAGGAACCAAUUUUAGUGCUUUGUUAUUUUUACUGUUGAGUA